GAUGAACGCUGGCGGCGUGCCUAAUACAUGCAAGUCGAGCGAACAGACGAGGAGCUUGCUCCUCUGACGUUAGCGGCGGACGUGUGAGUAACACGUGGAUAACCUACCUAUAAGACUGGGAUAACUUCGGGAAACCGGAGCUAAUACCGGAUAAUAUAUUGAACCGCAUGGUUCAAUAGUGAAAGACGGUUUUGCUGUCACUUAUAGAUGGAUCCGCGCCGCAUUAGCUAGUUGGUAAGGUAACGGCUUACCAAGGCGACGAUGCGUAGCCGACCGGAGGGGGUGAUCGGCCACACGGGAGCGGAGCCACGGUCCAUACUCCUAAGGGAGGCCGCAGUAGGGAAUCGUCCGCAAUGGUCGAAAGCCUGACAGAGCAACGCCGCGUGAGUGAUAACGGUCUUCGGAUCGUAAAACUCUGUUAUUAGUGAAGAACAACUGUGUAAGUAACUAUGCACGGCUUGACGGUAACUAAUCAGAAAGCCACGGCUAACUACGUG
rnacentral:rRNA from 1 species